rnacentral:rRNA from 2 species
GAUGAACGCUGGCGGCGUGCUUAACACAUGCAAGUCGAACGGACUUUAGGAGAAGCUUGCUUUUCCGAAAAGUUAGUGGCGAACGGGUGAGUAACACGUGGGCAACCUGCCCUACACACAGGAAUAACAAUGAGAAAUCAUUGCUAAUACCGGAUAAGCUUACAAUGUCGCAUGGCAAAGUAAGAAAAGAUUUAUCGGUGUAGGAUGGGCCCGCGUCUGAUUAGCUAGUUGGUAAGGUAAUGGCUUACCAAGGCGACGAUCAGUAGCCGACUUGAGAGAGUGAUCGGCCACAUUGGGACUGAGACACGGCCCAAACUCCUACGGGAGGCAGCAGUGGGGAAUAUUGGACAAUGGGGGCAACCCUGAUCCAGCCAUGCCGCGUGUGUGAAGAAGGUCUUCGGAUUGUAAAGCACUUUAAGUUGUGAGGAGGGUACGUGUAACGAACGUACUUUGACGUUAGCAACAGAAUAAGCACCGGCUAACUUCGUGCCAGCAGCCGCCGUAAC